rnacentral:lncRNA from 1 species
CACUAACUGUGUCCCUCAGUGCCACGUCUCUAUGUUUUUUGAGAACUUUCAGGGAUGGUGACUCCCUGGGCAGAUUGUGCCAGUGCCUAACCGCUCUCUGAGAAGAAUAUUUUCAUAAUAUCCAACCUGAACCACCUUGUGCAACUUAUUACCCCUCAUCCUGUGGCAGGUUGCUCCCUUCACUGCAAGCUGAAGAUGUAGAGGCUACAAAAGCUAUGGCUCUUUGAGUCAGUUUUAUGGCCCAAGACCUCCAGUACCCCAGUCUGUCCUGCUCCAUCAGAGCUACAAAUACCAACCGAACAUCUUCAAAAGAAAUACAUGUGCACAGGAACAGCAGCUUAGACAAAACAUUGCUCCAUCUCUCUGUGCCUAUCAGAGAGGGAUAUGGUAUCUCAGACAAAAGGCAGAAAAGUUUUUUAACACGAUGAACCACUCUCAAGCCAUGUCACACGGAUCACAAAGUGCAGUGCUGCAUCUUGCACCUACUGAUCACACCAGAGACCACCAUGGCACGAGGUCCCACUUCUGCUGGUACCACCAAGCAGAGGUGGCCGUGAGGUCUCUGUUUCACAGCCCUACCCUGCUGCAGGCAGCCCCAGAGCCGUCUGCCGCUACUCCAGCCCGGAGAGCCGGGCUGUCACAUCGCGUCCCGGGGUAAACCUGCCCCGGGGGCCUGAUCCUUCCCGAUGUCCGCAGGGCGAGCACCGAGAGCACUUUCAACAAGCGACUUACCCCACGAAGAGACAGGAGAAACCCCACCAACACUCCACUCCUCUUUCAGCAGCUUUUCUCCCCAAAUCAACACAGGCAAAACGCCCUUCCUGUGCGGAGCAACCCCGUUUCCUUCGUUUCCCCCUCCGGUUCCCAGCGCCGGGCCCGCUGUCCUCAGCCCCGCACACUCACCGAACCGUGCUGGGCAGCCCUCGCCGUGCCCCGCGGCCGUUCCCCGCUCGCUGAGGACCUGGCCUGUCUCAGAGCAGCAUUUGUUUCCCCUGGGAACUAUGCAGCAGCAGGAGAGAAAGCAGAUCCUGCUCCAAGAUUGCAAAUAUCCAUCACCUAAGCUAAGAGAAAACAUCUAUUAAAUACCACCUGCAGAAAGCCUGAUAAGCAGUUCAGAAGAGGCUGAAAAGGUGGAAUUGUAUCUCCUGACAACUCCAGUAUGUGAUUCAUUGUUAGACUAUUGUUGCACCACAGAAGACUGAAGAUCAUUAUCUUGCUGAAGGUAGUAAUUUAUUUGAUAAUGAGCCAAGCUCUGUUAGGCUUACUCAGAUGUUGAGCAGGACUUGAAGCUGUGAGCUAUGGAGUAACGGUGCUGCAGCACACUGGGAGGUAGCCUGUGACUCUGUCGCAUGGAUUCUACUGCAGCAGGAAUUAGAUGUAAUAAUGCUAUUGCUGCAGUAGGCUCUAAGAUCUUAUUAGCAGG